rnacentral:tRNA from 1 species
GUACCCGUAGCUCAGUUGGAUAGAGCGACUGCCUCCGGAGCAGUAGGUCGUGAGUUCGAACCUCGCCGGGUACACCA